CAGGGGUUGGGAUUUUUUGAAGAUUUUUCUUCCAUACGGCCAUUUUGUCCAGGGCUAUAAAUGUGGCAGCUCCGAUUUCCGUUUUCUUUAAGAAUUCCACACAUUGCUGCGCGAUAUCGAUUGUAUCAACAACGAUGUAGUCCAGGGCAGCACAAGAUGAUGAAAUAGCAACAUCAUACUUCUCAUCGAUGGCUCCCAAGUCUCCCAGUCUUCCAUGUAUUCCAGAAAUACUCCCCGACCUCUUCUGCUCAAGCAGAGCCUCGAGCACUUUUCCUCGACUGCGGUGCUGUGCUAAAGAACUUUUGGCUUCUUCUACUUUUUGACGGAGAUUUCGAACAAGAUCCUGAGCAUUCAAUUCCUCUUUUUUCAGCUUCUCAAGCUUGUUCUCUUUCUCCUUUAAUUCUUGUUCAGCUGUAGGUAACUUUAUAUCUAUAUCUUUAAUAGCAGCCUUCCUUUGCUUAAGAGUUUCAGAAGUAGUCAUCAGAGCCUCCUUUGCCUCAUCUAGCUGAGACACAGCAGUGUUAUAGCGGGUGAGGUAGAUAUCGAGUUCUGCCUGUGCUACAUCCAUCUUUGAACGCGCGUCAUUCACCGUCUUACAAAACUCCAUGAGCUCUUUCUCUUUGCCCUCUUUUUCUUUCUGAAUUUCUCGUGUUUCUUCUUGAAGACUACUCAUAACCUGCUUGAGUUUUUCUUCUUCUUUGUCUUUUGCCUUUUCAAGAAGCUCUUUCUUAGAUGUUGCAUCGCUGAUGUUUUUUUCACUACUGGAGGGUACGUUUUUCAGUUCUUCCACCUUUUCUUUGUCCUUCUGAAGUUGCUUCUCCAGUUUUUUAGCCUUGCUUUUGGCAUGCUUCAGUUUUUCCCUUACUUUAACAUCCUGCAAAUCCAACUGAGUAAAUUUAUUUUUGUUUUCCUCUAUUAGCACUGUAAUUUUAUCAAUUUUCUUCUCAAGAUCUUUUAAAGCUUUACUCUUGCUUUUCAUUUCAUCUGCAAGUUUACUACUCUUCUCAUUAAUAUCUUUAGUUUCUUUCUGUAUAUUUUCUUUCUGUGUUUCCAAAUCAUUUAUUCGCUUCUGUAGGUCAUAGAUGUAGUACUGACAGAUAUGGUUUUUCUCUUUAAACAUUUUGUUUUCCAAGGAAAGAAAUUCGAUGGCUUUAUUCUUGUCCCCUUCUAAGGCAUCCUUUUCUUUUUCCACCAUUUUAACUCUAUUUAACUUUUCUCCCCUUUGUUCAUUUAAAGUCUCUACUCUGCGACAAAGAGUUUGAAUAGGAGCUCUCAGUCGUGCAGACCCUAUCAGAUCUUCCAAGUAUUCCAGCAUGCCUUCGUCAUGUUCAGUCUGGCCUUUGGGUUUCAUCAUUGCAAUCUGUUCAACUUCCCCCUUGGAAAAAAAAGGUUUAAUGUUUUCUUCUUCUUUUCUUUUCCUGAGGGAUAGUGAUAGCAUGUUGAAAAUACACGAAAGGGAUGCAGGUGAAUGAAUACACGGAAAGCAGAGACUCUUCUGAAGCUCACAGUCAG
rnacentral:lncRNA from 1 species